GCCAUUGUUGUUUGCUCUCUCGUUCUCGCGUUCCCUUCCAGUCUCGCUCGAUUCUCGUGGCGCGUGGACGUUUGCGUAGCGCCAGGAAAUACAUCACGGUUUCCUUCUUUGUCCAGAAAUUGUAAUCUGGAAACGAAGAAGCAAGCUCGUGCUUGCGUACACUUUUGAAAACUUACCGUUGCGUGUGUGAAAUAACUGGUGAAAUCUGCUGGUGUAUCCCGUCGUGUGUGUGCGUUCAGUGAUUCCCGCAUAGUCGUUCGAGCAUGAAUAAUAAAGAAGCAGCCGGUGAUCUCGUCGCGUGGAUCUCGGGUGCGAGCUGGUGACAGGAGCGGAGUGCGGGUGUCGUGAGGUCCCUGUGAUGAGUCUGCGGUGACGGCUCGCCGCGGAGCGGUUGGAUGGCGGCAGUGACCGGCCCCGCGCGGCACUCUCGCGUGUCAAUGAGUGUGUCAAUGUCGCUGAUGCAGGGCGGAACGCCGACCGCGUCGCAGGGCGCCAUCCUGGCGGCGGCGGCGCCCUACUACCAGACGCCGGCCAUCCCCUCGGAUGUUCAGCCCGACCGGCCGAUCGGCUACGGCGCCUUCGGUGUCGUAUGGGCGGUGACGGACCCGCGCGACGGCCGGCGCGUGGCACUGAAGAAGCUGCCCAACGUGUUCCAGUCGCUCGUCUCCUCCAAGCGCGUCUUCCGCGAGCUCAAGAUGCUGUGCUUCUUCAAACAUGAAAACGUACUAUCGGCGUUAGACAUCCUUCAGCCGCCCACGUUAGACUUCUUCCAAGAAAUAUAUGUGAUCACGGAACUGCUACAGAGCGACCUGCACAAGAUCAUCGUGUCGCCGCAACACCUCUCCGCCGACCACAUCAAAGUCUUCCUCUACCAAAUACUCAGAGGUCUAAAGUAUCUACACUCGGCUCGGAUCCUGCACCGCGACAUCAAGCCCGGCAACCUCCUGGUGAACAGCAACUGCGUGCUGAAGAUAUGCGACUUCGGCCUCGCCAGGGUCGAGGAGCCGGACGCCAGCAAGAACAUGACGCAGGAGGUGGUCACGCAGUACUACAGGGCACCUGAGAUCCUAAUGGGCGCCAACCACUACACGGCGGCCGUGGACGUGUGGUCGGUCGGCUGCAUAUUCGGCGAGCUGCUCGGCAGGAGGAUCCUCUUCCAGGCUCAGAGUCCCGUGCAACAGUUGGAGUUGAUAACGGAGCUGCUGGGCACGCCGUCGCUGGAGGACAUGCGGCACGCGUGCGCGGGCGCGCGCGCGCACAUGCUGCGCCGCGCGCCGCGCCCGCCCGCGCUCGCCGCGCUCUACACGCUCUCCGUGCAGGCCACGCACGAGGCCGUGCAUCUGCUCGCUCAGAUGCUAGUAUUCGACCCGGCGAAGCGCAUCUCGGUGGUGGACGCGCUGGCGCACCCGUACCUGGAGGAGGGGCGGCUGCGCUACCACUCGUGCAUGUGCCUGUGCUGCUACAGCGCGCCGCCCGCCGCGCGCCACUACUCGCCCGACCUGGAGCCCGCGGCGCCGCAGCCCUUCCACGACGCCUGGGAGCGCAAGCUCACCUCCGUGCACCAGGUCAAAGAGGAAAUCCACAAGUUCAUAGCGGAGCAGCUGCAAACGUCCCGCGUGCCGCUGUGCAUCAACCCUCAGUCCGCGGCGUUCAAGAGCUUCGCAAGGUAAGGCGCCGCCGCCAACCAACCGCCAACCGCCACCAACCGCCACCGACACUAGCUCCACGGUGGCGCACCCCAGCGAGCUGCCGCCCUCGCCACACCAGUGGGAAUGACCCGACCACAAGCGGCGCGCCCUCUACACCACGCGAUAACCGCACACCUCACAC